AUUGAACGCUGGCGGAAUGCUUUACACAUGCAAGUCGAACGGCAGCACGGACUUCGGUCUGGUGGCGAGUGGCGAACGGGUGAGUAAUGUAUCGGAACGUGCCCAGUCGUGGGGGAUAACGUAGUGAAAAUUACGCUAAUACCGCAUACGAUCUAUGGAUGAAAGCGGGGGAUCGCAAGACCUCGCGCGAUUGGAGCGGCCGAUAUCAGAUUAGGUAGUUGGUGGGGUAAAGGCCCACCAAGCCAACGAUCUGUAGCUGGUCUGUUAGGAGGACCAGCCACACUGGAUUUGAGACACGGUCCAGACUCCUACGGGAGGCAGCAGUGUGGAAUUUUGGAAAAUGGGCGGAAGCCUGAUCCAGCCAUUCCGCGUGCAGGAUGAAGGCCCUCGGGUUGUAAACUGCUUUUGUACAGAACGAAAAGGUUUCUACUAAUACUAGGAGCUCAUGACGGUACUGUAAGAAUAAGCACCGGCUAACUACGUGCCAGCCGCCGCAGUAA
rnacentral:rRNA from 1 species